ACCGCUCAGUUGGGAGAGCGUUAGACUAUAGAUCGAAAAGUAUCUGGUUCGAUCCCGGGUUCCGGCA
rnacentral:tRNA from 1 species